ACGCUUGGAUCUUUCUCUACCCACUGGCGACUGUGGCCAACUGUGUCCUCCUACGUGGUCAUCUGUAAUUCCUGCACCCAAGAGGUGGAGACAGGAAGAUUAAACGUUUCAAGCCAUCUUCGGUCACAUGAGACGGAGUCUCAUAGAAAAAUCUAAAAAGUAAAUCAAACCAAAAAAAAAAAAAAAUCCCAAACCGAACAAAUUGAAGUCCCAGUCUUCAGUGGACAGAAGCAGGAGGAUUGCGAAAACAUCGACUUCAAGGACCAAGAGCGCUCCCUAACAUCCACCUAUGCCCAAGGUUUCCUACCAAGUAAGUGGUUCAGGGAUCAGAGCGCCGAGGAAACAGGUAAAGUUGUUGAGCCAGACAGAGAUCCUCUGGUGUAUUGAGUUUCGUGAUGUCCUCCGGGGUUGCCUCACCCAAGAGUCAGCCACCGGUGAAAUGGCAUGAGCAUCUCUAUCACGGACGGGGAGCAAGAGUAUGAAGCCUAAGGUCCAUGUCAGUUUUGUGGACAGAUCUGACGUUUUAAAAGACACAUUAUGGGGGAUAAUAGUUUUGCCAAGUUCACAGUGAUACAUGGAGACAUUGGUGUUUACAAACACUGAAAAAACGUGCCGAGAUUGCUAGAUUUAAGAGGGAUCUAUGCAGCCCUCUGAGUGAGGCUUAAGAGCGGGCCGAGCGAGGCCCUGGGCAAAGGAAUUGAACCUGAGGUGAGCCCGGACCACCUGUCCAGAGGCAGUUCCUGUCUCCGGAAUCCCUUCUCACAAACUUACUUUGACUCCAAAGCACGCUACAGAGAUGGGUUGCAGGGUAAACCCUGCCUCCGUUUGUAUGCUCCUGUCAGGAUUAAACGACCUGAGCGCAAUAAUUGAAACACGGUUUUAAUAAAGAAUCAUGAACAA